rnacentral:rRNA from 1 species
CACCGCCCGUCACACCAUGGGAGCUGGUUUGACCUGAAGACGGUGCGCUAACCCGCAAGGGAGGCAGCCGGCCACGGUCAGGUCAGCGACUGGGGUG